rnacentral:lncRNA from 1 species
GUCAAGCACAAUUAAAGGAUCUACAACACUUUAGAGGUUUCAGACAUUUUUUUUUUGGUUUUCAAUUUAAAUCAUAACACAGCUUAUAUAGAAUUUUAGGUAUAAUAAAGGUAUACCUGAAAGGUAGCAAAGUGAUUACAGAUAUCAUUCACAUACCAAAGCCAUUUCUGUAACAUCUGUAAAUUGAGUAUUAUUUGACCUUGUGUUUUUCAUUCAUUAUUUGUAUAUAAAUCAAGUUCUUAGUUUUACAUUUGUCUUUUCGGGACCUUUUUUUAGCCGACUAUGCUGAAUGGGCUUUGCUCAUUGUUGAAGGUUGUACAUCGAUCUAAAGUUGUUAAUAUUUGUGUCAUUUGAUUUCUUGUGAAGAGUUAUCUCAUUGGCAAUCAUUCCAUUUUCUUUUUUUAUAUAUAUUAAUAGAUAUAAGAAGAUGUUGUAUGAGUGUCAAUGAGACAACUCUCCAUCCAAGUCACAAUUUGUGAAAGAAAAACCAUUAUUUAGUUUAUUAAAGAUGUAAUUAUAGAUGUUGUACCUAUUUUUUUUCUAUUAGGCAUAUAAUUCAUAACUAAAGUAAGGGGAUCCAGUUAUCACAUAUAACUUUGACUUCUGUACCAUUGAUGUUUAAUAAUAUACUGGUACAAUGUACACCAAAUUUUCUAAAACGGAACUAAUCCUUGAGCAUCUUAAAAGAACAAUUUUUAUAUAUUUAACAACAUAAAACGUAAUCGACCCUUUGUACUUCUACUAAAGGAUG